AUGCUGUUGUUCCCUGCCGAACAACAUCGCGCGUGGGGGCGGUCAGCGGGUACCUCGAGAUACAGCAGGGGCUCAUGUAGACUCACUUCAAGUUUGGAACUCGAUGCAAGCUCAGAGGCAGAGAUUCAAGGCGCAAAAACGUACCUAUGCAUGAUGAAGUGCCAGGAGCUGCUUCCAUGCUCAAGAACACAGUGGAUGCAUGCUGAUCCACAGAGAGAGCAAUUUUCUAUCAAUCCUGAUCUAUUCUCAUGUGAUCUAGGGGGCAACAUUGACAAUGUAGUAGAUGGGCAGGAGAAAGGAUGUAGCCGGGAAGAUAUCUUGGCGGUAAUCUGUUGUUACACAGGAGAAAAAAAGUUUGUUUUGCUGAUUAUCUGGAACAAAUUAGAGAGCUCUCACACCCUUGGCUACGACUCCUUGAUACGGAGAAAACAUAACAGCAUAUUUAAAUUGGGAGGAUUUAAUGGAAGAGGGCGAGGUGGGACUAUUCUGCACAAGAGGAAGAGGGAAGAUAGCUCUGCAGCGGCGCCAUGGCUCCUUGCCGCGAACUCGACAGAGUCCAUGUGCAGGGGCAGGCGGAGGCCGGCGCCGGCAAGCAGGCAGUGGAGCGCGUUGACGGAGCCGUGGUGGAGGUCAUGGGCGCCGAUCUGCUCCACCCACCUCGAGCCGACGCGAGGAAGAGGGAAGAUAGCUCAUUAG
rnacentral:rRNA from 1 species